rnacentral:rRNA from 1 species
AUUGAACGCUGGCGGCAUGCCUACACAUGCAAGUCGAGCGGCAGCGCGGGGGCAACCCUGGCGGCGAGCGGCGAACGGGUGAGUAAUACAUCGGAACGUGUCCUGUCGUGGGGGAUAACCAGUCGAAAGAUUGGCUAAUACCGCAUGACCUCGUAAGAGAAAAGCGGGGGAUCGCAAGACCCCGCGCGAUUGGAGCGGCCGAUGUCGGAUUAGCUAGUUGGCGGGGUAAAAGCCCACCAAGGCGACGAUCCGUAGCUGGUUUGAGAGAACGACCAGCCACACUGGGACUGAGACACGGCCCAGACUCCUACGGGAGGCAGCAGUGGGGAAUUUUGGACAAUGGGGGCAACCCUGAUCCAGCCAUGCCGCGUGUGUGAAGAAGGCCUUCGGGUUGUAAAGCACUUUCGGCCGGAACGAAAUCGCGCGGGUGAACAUCCCGCGUGGAUGACGGUACCGGAAGAAGAAGCACCGGCUAACUACGUGCCAGCCGCCGCCGUAA